CUCAUCACCAACCAUCCAACCAACUGAGCUAAACGACCCCCAAAAUAUCAAACAAGAGCAAGGAAUUGUAAGUGAGUAUUCGAGCAGAAUGCAAUUUUUCAAUCAAUGGAGAGAUAGAUACCUGAUGCUGGUUUGAACCUUACAUAUGGCUAAGGAAGGACACCACUUUGACUGGGACAACACAUCCAGCCGAGGACAAGCCAAACAGAG